rnacentral:lncRNA from 1 species
UUCAACACCCAGGGCGAGGACUUUGACUACCCGGAGUUCCGCGACCCGAUUCGCUCUCCUGUCGCCUGGCCCACUCCUUCAGAUUCCUUAUCGGAACCUGCAGACCGUGACCGUGGCGGUGGUGGGGUCGGGUCGGACCACCAGUCCGAUGCGUCGCCGGUUUCUGCUGCCCCGGGCAGCGCCACAAAGGCUAGGGCAGGUGGGUCGGGCAGUAACGCCGGCAAUAAUCAGGUGGUUGACGGCCUAACGGCUGGGAUGAGUGUGCUUAACUUUGAGGAUACUGGGGA